GACGAACGCUGGCGGCGUGCCUAAUACAUGCAAGUAGAACGCUGAAGGAGGAGCUUGCUUCUCUGGAUGAGUUGCGAACGGGUGAGUAACGCGUAGGUAACCUGCCUGGUAGCGGGGGAUAACUAUUGGAAACGAUAGCUAAUACCGCAUAAGAGUAGAUGUCGCAUGACAUUUGCUUAAAAGGUGCAAUUGCCUCACUACCAGAUGGACCUGCGUUGUAUUAGCUAGUUGGUGAGGUAACGGCUCACCAAGGCAACGAUACAUAGCCGACCUGAGAGGGUGAUCGGCCACACUGGGACUGAGACACGGCCCAGACUCCUACGGGAGGCAGCAGUAGGGAAUCUUCGGCAAUGGACGGAAGUCUGACCGAGCAACGCCGCGUGAGUGAAGAAGGUUUUCGGAUCGUAAAGCUCUGUUGUAAGAGAAGAACGAGUGUGAGAGUGGAAAGUUCACACUGUGACGGUAUCUUACCAGAAAGAGACGGCUAACUACGUG
rnacentral:rRNA from 1 species